AUUUGGUCUUGAAUGAUUUAUUCGGUUUUUUGCCCAAUCUUACAUGGAGGAUUAAUUAUUAAGCAAAUUCACUAAACAAAUAUUAGCAGACAAAUACAUCAACAAACCCCCCCAAAAAAAUAAAUAAAUAAAUUUGCAAUCUUUCAUGGUUGCAUGAUUUGGGCUUCCUAUCUUAUGGGCUACGAAGUUUUUUGGGCUUCAGGCCCAAUAUAACCCAAGAAAAAGAAAAAAAAUAAUAGCAAAUUUUUGAGCGAGAGCAAACGAAGUAGAAAGUGAUACAAUCAAAGGAACAGAUUUAAGAUGAAGAUCACCGUCAUGACGAUCCUGACUAAACUGUAAAACCCUAAUUUCAGCUUUACAUUACAAACCUCACUCACUUGCAAUGCAUGCGUAUAUCUCUCUCUGUAAAGGCAAAUGCAGAUUCUGUUGCUACUUCAGAAACAGCAACCGCCAUGUGAGAUGGAAGGGAGGGAUAUGAGGAAUUCUGAGGAGUUGAGUGCCCUUGGUGUCAAAGAUGAAGAUUUGAUACUGAUAGUAUGCAAUGCUGCUUAAGCUUGAGUUGAUUCCAACAUUAACAUGUGGGAAGAUCAGCCGGUGGAGGAAGCAACUUCUGGUUGGGAAGCUUUCCAUCUAAGACUACCCAAGCCAUCUUCAAGCCCCAACUAGUAUGGAUCUCCAAGUGGCAAUGCAUAAACCAUACACCUGUAAAUAUUUUUGUUACUAAUUCCAAUCACUUUACUACAUAAAUAUUAACUUCAUUGAUGACUGCAGAAAUCGUAUAGCGACCCAUCCACCAGAGGGCACACCCACGGUAUUUCUUUCAACAGGGUCGACCAAAUUGAAGUUUGCAGGGUCCUUAUUUUGGUCAAAGUUCCCAAACCCUUGGCCAACAACAAAGAAAUUAUAUCCAUGCAGAUGAAGAGGGUGGCUUUCGGCACCAAGAAUGCUUGUGUCCUGCAUGA